rnacentral:lncRNA from 1 species
CUGACUUGUGACUUCUUAUCAGCCAUGAGCUUGGAAAUUAAUUCAACCUGUGGAGCUCCUGAAUUUCACAGACAAAUCCAGACCCCUGUGUGGAAAGCCUGCGGUGGUGUUCUCCGUCUUCCCACAGGACUCCCUGCAGCCAGGAAUUCUAGGGGAGCACCUGACGCGAGGUAUACGCCCAGAUGGCCUGAAGUAACUGAAGAAUCAC